AGUGAACGCUGGCGGUAGGCCUAACACAUGCAAGUCGAACGGCAGCACAGUAAGAGCUUGCUCUUACGGGUGGCGAGUGGCGGACGGGUGAGGAAUACAUCGGAAUCUACUUUUUCGUGGGGGAUAACGUAGGGAAACUUACGCUAAUACCGCAUACGACCUACGGGUGAAAGCAGGGGAUCUUCGGACCUUGCGCGAUUGAAUGAGCCGAUGUCGGUUUAGCUAGUUGGCGGGGUAAAGGCCCACCAAGGCGACGAUCCGUAGCUGGUCUGAGAGGAUGAUCAGCCACACUGGAACUGAGACACAGUCCAGACUCCUAGGGGAGGCAGCAGUGGGGAAUAUUGGACAAUGGGCGCAAGCCUGAUCCAGCCAUACCGCGUGGGUGAAGAAGGCCUUCGGGUUGUAAAGCCCUUUUGUUGGGAAAGAAAAGCAGCAGGUUAAUACCCCGCUGUUCUGACGGUACCCAAAGAAUAAGCACCGGCUAACUUCGUG
rnacentral:rRNA from 1 species